rnacentral:misc_RNA from 1 species
UACGUAGGGGGCGAGCGUUGUCCGGAAUUAUUGGGCGUAAAGCGCGCGCAGGCGGUUUUUUAAGUCGGGAGUAUAAUUCCAGGGCUUAACCCUGGGAGGCUCCGGAAACUGGGAGACUGGAGUGCAGAAGAGGAGAGUGGAAUUCCACGUGUAGCGGUGAAAUGCGUAGAGAUGUGGAGGAACACCAGUGGCGAAGGCGACUCUCUGGUCUGUGACUGACGCUGAGGCGCGAAAGCGUGGGGAGCAAACAGG